CCUACGGGCGGCAGCAGUGGGGAAUAUUGGGCAAUGGGCGCAAGCCUGACCCAGCAACGCCGCGUGAAGGAAGAAGGCCUUAGGGUUGUAAACUUCCUUUGACAGGGAAGAGCAGAAGACGGUACCUGUCGAAUAAGCCACGGCUAACUACGUGCCAGCAGCCGCGGUAAUACGUAGGUGGCAAGCGUUGUCCGGAGUUACUGGGUUUAAAGGGCGUGUAGCCGGGCUGACAAGUCAGAUGUGAAAUACGGGGGCUCAACCCCCGAACUGCAGUUGAAACUGUUGGUCGUGAGUAUCGGAGAGGCAGGCGGAAUGCCUGGUGUAGCGGUGAAAUGCGUAGAUAUUAGGAGGAACACCAGUGGCGAAGGCGGCCUGCUGGACGACAACUGACGGUGAGGCGCGAAAGCGUGGGGAGCAAACAGGAUUAGAUACCCGAGUAGUC
rnacentral:rRNA from 1 species